GAUGAACGCUGGCGGCGUGCCUAAUACAUGCAAGUCGAGCGAACAGACGAGGAGCUUGCUCCUCUGACGUUAGCGGCGGACGGGUGAGUAACACGUGGAUAACCUACCUAUAAGACUGGGAUAACUUCGGGAAACCGGAGCUAAUACCGGAUAAUAUAUUGAACCGCAUGGUUCAAUAGUGAAAGACGGUUUUGCUGUCACUUAUAGAUGGAUCCGCGCCGCAUUAGCUAGUUGGUAAGGUAACGGCUUACCAAGGCGACGAUGCGUAGCCGACCUGAGAGGGUGAUCGGCCACACUGGAACUGAGACACGGUCCAGACUCCUACGGGAGGCAGCAGUAGGGAAUCUGCCGCAAUGGGCGAAAGCCUGACGGAGCAACGCCGCGUGAGUGAUGAAGGUCUUCGGAUCGUAAAACUCUGUUAUUAGGGAAGAACAAAUGUGUAAGUAACUAUGCACGUCUUGACGGUACCUAAACAGAAAGCCACGGCUAACUACGUG
rnacentral:rRNA from 1 species